rnacentral:rRNA from 1 species
GUAGGGAGCAAGCGUUGUUCGGAAUUAUUGGGCGUAAAGAGCGCGUAGGCGGUUCGGUAAGUCUGACGUGAAAUCCCGGAGCUUAACUCCGGAACUGCGUUGGAUACUGCCGAGCUUGAGUGUGGGAGAGGAGAGUGGAAUUCCCAGUGUAGAGGUGAAAUUCGUAGAUAUUGGGAGGAACACCCGUGGCGAAGGCGGCUCUCUGGACCACAACUGACGCUGAGGCGCGAAAGCUAGGGUAGCAAACGGGAUUAGAUACCCCGGUAGUCCUAGCCGUAAACGAUGGGCACUAGGUGUUGGAGGUAUCGACCCCUCCAGUGCCGCAGCUAACGCAUUAAGUGCCCCGCCUGGGGAGUACGGUCGCAAGACUA